rnacentral:rRNA from 1 species
UACGGAGGAUGCAAGCGUUAUCCGGAAUGAUUGGGCGUAAAGCGUCCGCAGGUGGCAAUGUAAGUCUGCUGUUAAAGAGUCUAGCUCAACUAGAUAAAAGCAGUGGAAACUACAUAGCUAGAGUACGUUCGGGGCAGAGGGAAUUCCUGGUGUAGCGGUGAAAUGCGUAGAGAUCAGGAAGAACACCAGUGGCGAAGGCGCUCUGCUAGGCCGUAACUGACACUGAGGGACGAAAGCUAGGGGAGCAAAUGGG